AUAGCACAUAAGGAAGAUGGACUAUUCAAAUAAGGUAAACUGAACAAAACUGAUAGUUUAGCAAAUAUCUCAAAACUUGUUAAUUUAUCUAAUGAAAUUAUUACUUUGAUACAGUAAUUAUAUAUUUUAUUGAUCAUAUACUAAAACUUACUAUAAAACAAAUAACCAUUAGAGUAGAUUAAUUAGAUAAACAUUAAAUUCAAAUAAAGGAUAAAGCAGUUGAUAGUCAAAAGAAACUUAAAACAAACUUGUCUUCAUAAACAUAAAACAAUAGAGAACCGAGAAAGUAUUUUUGUAAUAAUAAAACAACCGCAGCCACUGGUAGAACCAAACUUAGCUUCCCAUCAUCACACUUCCAACUUCAUUCCAACAUCCUGAACAUCAUCUUGUUGUUCUGCAAAGCCACGGCUGUUUCAAAAAAGAGAAACAUUACUUAAUCCAAUCAGUAAUCAUAGCAUUUGAUUACUUAUUUAACUUCUGAUAGGUAACAACUUACAUGUAUCUCGGAAUGUCCAAAUCAGGAAAGGUUGGAUCAAGAAAAAGCCUUGAACAACCAUACUCACUCAUCAAACAGUUUUGACCUAUUAAAACAUGUUAAUAGUUACCAGUUAGAGUUAUUGUCUAAUGUAUUUGACAGUUAUAUAUAGUUUAGAGGAAAUAACUAACCUUCAAACUCAGCAACCCUCCAAAAACGCAGGACAAUGACAACUGGGUCAUAAUUGUAUGUCACAGAAGUUAUUUUCCUAAACCAUUUAGUCACAAACGCCUGACAGGACCUACCCUUUGCAACACAGAUUGUUUUCCUACCCCUACAUGAUCACAGAUUCAAUGCAUUCAAUACCACAUCGCCAAUACAGAUACUAAUUUGAGAUAUCUAUUAAAAUAAAACUUACAUGUCAUCCUUGAUUUCGACAACAACAAAUCUGGCUUCAUAGUCUGUCUCUCCUUGACGACAAACAAAUGGAAAUCUUUGAAUAGCAGAGACACUCGAGACCACACCAAUAGCAUCUGAAAACAAAUUUCAAAUAUACUUAACUAAAGUCAGAAUAAAGCAAAGUUUUACUAAUUUUCAAUCAAGAAAUAAAUAUACUUGAACCUGACACAUGUUGCUUAUCCUCUAAUCCAGCAUACUCAACUUCAUCAGAAUGAAUGAAGUUCCAGAAAUUUCCAUUACAUCUAGGAGACACAGGCCACAUAGUGGUAGGCCAUAUACACUCUAGUGCAAAACGAUUCCAGGAGUACUUAACAGGUUUAGUAGAUGGUACCACAUGGAAGUCAGCCAUGUAGUACCAGUGACCCUCCUUGAGACCUGGCCGGAAAUUGUAUAAGUAGUUUCCAGGAGGGAUAAAUGCAUCAAUCUGAUUGGCCUAGGCAUAUAAGAAGAACUAAAUAGUAAGUUUUCUCUGUGAAGAUUCAAACAAAUUAGUAAAUCUGUGACUUAAGAAACAGAGGUUCAAUAGAAGAAAUUUUCUAACCUUUUCAUCAGUCAGAAUCAUAAUCGUAGGUUCAUCAAUAGCGUCUAUACCUUGAUUCCAGAUAGAUAAAAUCUUCACGUACAAAGUCCAUCUAGGUCUUUGCAGGUUGAGAUCGGAAAUGUAGUCAAUAGUACCCAUUAGAAUCACAGAAAGUGUAAGUUUUUCUCUGUUUUUUUUUAUAGAGAAGGUUAGGUUUCUGAAUAAAACUAAAGGUUAAGUCUGAGUAUUUAUAGAAUCGUGUAGAGAUGUCAAUGAAUAGAUUCAAUUUCCUAUAUAAAAUAGAUAUUAUAUAUUGUAAAUCAUUGAAACCGUUUGAGAUAAGUAAAGUUAGAUAUAAUAUAUCAAGGAAACUGAAUCGUUAGCCUGUAAAAGAUCUUUAUUCAAUAUUAUAGUAAUGAUUAUAUAAAACUGUGCUUUCCAUAUUACGAUUUCCAAGAAUUUCCAUCAUUGUUUAUAAUAGAGAUUUCGUGUAGCAAACAUAAGGAUGUUAUAGCGGUUCUGCUUUAGGUUUUGAGGUCUAAUGAUUAUAUUUCAAUAACUGAGUAAGACAACGGUACAGUAGACAGAAAUUGAAUCAGGUUUAUUAGAGGAGAUUAACCAAAAAAUCAAACUGAAACAUCAAUUAAAAACCAAAGUAAAAAACCAACAAAUGUCUAACAAUGAAAUUUUUAAAAACUUGGAAUUAUGAUAAUUCCUUAUUGCUUAGCAAACAGGUGCUAGAUCACUAUUUCUCUUUUUUGAUCUUCAUUCCAACUGCUUUAGCCACAUGCCUAGUCUCCUUCUUAUCAGUCACAGGAAGAUCACCACUGUCUUGAACACCAUUUCCUUUGUUGCUUUCAAUCUUGACAUUCUCUACCUUCACAACUUCAGAGAUCUUGUCAGGAACUCCAUUUUGAGACAGACCAUUCUCCUCAAAUUCUAGUUCUGACUUCUGUAAGUCUUUAGGCUCGAUGCACACCUUCUUAGAACUGGAGGAUUGCUCUGACUCAGACAGAUUAGGAGCAUAAACACGCUUGGAAGAUGGAGUAGAUGAGUCAGACGUGUCUUGACUCAUUGUUAACAUGAGACACUGAAUAUAGAGAUUAUCAGUAGGAGAGAUAGUUGAUAUAAUUUUAAGGAGAUUAGAUAGUUAAAAAAUGUUACCUGAUCUCCAGAAACAAUUGAGGCAGGAUUAACCAAUUGUUCAGAUUCCUCAAGGACAUCUUCUUGCAAGAGUCCAUCUUUGUUUAGGAUUCUUGAAACCUUGAAAGAAUCCUUACCAUCCCAAAUGUUUUCUUUCUCAACACAUAGUAGAAAGAGAAAGGUCUUGCCAACCAAAUUCCUUAUUACGUCAGGCAAAUCAUUAGGGUCCUCAAUCUACAUAAGGAAAUUAGUACUUAUCAGUUGAAUGUUUCAUAUAUAUCAAUUACAUAUAUAAUUCACAUAAUAGAAUGUUACCUCAUUGAAUGAUCCACCUAGCAAUGAUGCGGCAGUUUCACCAACAAUUUCUGAGCAUAUACUGUCAAACAAAAGACAUUUUGUUUCACCAGUGUUAUCCAUUACCUUAACAUAUAGCAUGUACCUUCAAUAAGAGAAGUCAUAUUAGUAAUUAUUUCAAAGAAAAAACACAAACUUAUAAAUAUGCAUUAUUAUCAGAUUAAGAAAAGAAGUCUCACUUUGCUACAACAUUAGUGACAGCAUUCCUGCAGACGUCACACCAAAACUUUGGCUUUUGUUUCUUCAUGGAAGCAGUAUUCACUCCAGAAUGAAUGUGAGUGACCUUUUUAUUACAGUUACGGCAACUAAAGUAAUACCAAGCCCAAUCUGUAUCAAUUCCAUAGAUUGUGCAGAUAACUCUAGCCUUUCCAAUCUACAGGGUAUAGGUAAUUAAUGAGAUUUCACACACUAAAGUAGAUAACAAUGCUAUAUGAAUAACUCAAACAAAUACAAACCUCUGUUGAGUUAAAAAGAUCUGAUAUUGUCUUCCUUUCAAACUGAAGACAAUCAUCAUCCUUAUUCACUGUAACCAUCUGGAACUUAGGAACACUUUUACGGAAAGUUAAGGCUAGACCAUCAGAGGGGAGACUGUUAAUAGAAAAAACAAAGAAUGUAAUUUUCAGUCAGUUAUAAUAAAACUAUAAGUUUAGAGUAGUUUAAAAAAUAAACUUAUACGCUCUGGUGAAAGCUUCAAUCUCAGGGAAAGGUGGAUUGAUGUGAACUUGUGAGGCAUCAAAGGAAUUAGAGAGACUCCUAACACCUAGAAAGAAAACAGGAACAAUUGUCAAAUAAAACUUUAUUCAUUACAAAACCUUAGGUUGAAAUAGUAAUAUACCUUUGUAUGCCUUAAUCUUUGCAAAUCUGAUAACACAGAUCACCAUGAUUCCAUCAGCUGCUUGGCAUGCUUGAAACAUUUUUUCAGCAAAAGCCCCCCAGAGUGUGCAUGACAUCCUAUCAUCACUGCAGUAGAAAACAUGUAAUCAAAUAUUAGAUCAUAUCAAAUCUCGUUCUAUAAAUUCUCAGGUUACUUAAUAAUAAAACAACCAUAUCAGAUCACUCACUGUUCAUCACGCAACUCAAAGUCAAGCUUAGUGGUUGGCUUGUUAUUAGCUUCAAGGACCUCUAGCUCACCAAUAUUCACCACUUGACCCAUGACAUCUAUAUUUGGUUCACAACAGUACAUUUAGUAUAUACAUAAAUUAACAGAAUUGAUUUAAGACAUGAGAAUGUAUAUUUUAGAGCAUUACAUACCAAUCAACAUGUAAGGAUUUAAAUCGCCAUUCUGUAUUCUGCUAAACCUUGCCAGAGUUAAGUAGCUUGAAUCAGAGACAAUGUCAGACCGUGUCACAGUAGUGCCAUUCACAAAGGACAUCUUGUAUAGAUGACCGGUUGGUCUGAAUUGCCCUGCUGCAUGAGUAAGUGUAAAAUGUUCAAUGAACUUCCACUCAUUCACUUGUAGGCUGUUAACAUAUUUAGCAACCAAAUCCUUCUUCACAGAAGCAUGAAUCUUGACACCCUGUUUUAAUAAUGAAGUAGAAUUAGAGUUAGGUUUAUAGAUGUUGCUCAUGUAUAGAAAUAUAAAAUGCUACUCUCUGAUAUAUUGUUGUUUUACCUGUGAAUCAGCGAGGACCAACUCAAGGGUUUCACCUGUGUUGUUGGUAUACUGGCGCCAAGAAUGGAGCACCUUAACCUGGACACGCCAAGAUGUCUUGUAUGGUCUGAUAUCUCUUAACAUUGCAAAUUGGGAAGCCAUUGGUGAAGGUAAAUAAAGAAAAUUUUAUUAUCUGAUAUAUUGCUAUUUGGAAAUGAGAGAUUGUGUGAAUAGAGACGAUGGGAAUGAGCGGCUAUUUAUAUAGUUUGAAUUAGUAGGUUCCAUUAGGUUUAGGCGAAUCUUAAAAAAUCCUUGAUGAUCAAGGAUUAAAUAUAUUGUGUGAUCUUAAUUAUUGGAAUAAAAGAGAAUAUGCUAGGUUUAUUGCCGCGAGAAUAUAGAUGAAAUCUUUUCUCUAUUAACUAUUUUCCAACUCAAUAAGAUCAUUCGGAGAUACAUGCUUCAGUUGAUAGAAAGAAAUGAUAAAUGGAGUAGUUACUAUUGCGUUUUAAUAGGGAAGAAUAGAUAUGCUAUGAAUGUUUGCUUCUUUAUUGGUGUAACUGCAAAUAUUUCGUGUAUCUUUAACUGAGAUUGAAUUGAGAAACUUAAUCAUUUUGCCAUGAAUGUAGGUCAAAGCAACUAAGGAAAGAUUUGAUGACUCAAAAUCGGAGCAAAAAAUCAAAUUAGGCAAGAUCCGAGAUUCUCCUAAUCGGGUCGAAAUCAAUUAAUUCCGGGUCAUAAUUUUGACCCGAUUUGGGUACCCCAAAAACUGCUGCAAAAAUGUAUAGUAGAUACUGAUUAAGAUAUGGAUUCGGUUUUAGUUUGAGUUAUUUCAUGUAUAUUAGCUAGGCGUAACUAUUUUGGAACGGGAAACCUAUCCC
rnacentral:lncRNA from 1 species